rnacentral:rRNA from 1 species
UGCAAGUCGAGCGAGAAAGGGGAGCAAUCCUCUGAGUAAAGCGGCGCACGGGUGAGUAACACGUGGGUAAUCUGCCCUGGAGUGGGGAAUAACACCGGGAAACCGGUGCUAAUACCGCAUACGAUAACGAUGUCUGCGGACGUUGUUAUGAAAGGAGCAAUUCGCUCCAGGAGGAGCCCGCGGCUGAUUAGCUAGUUGGUGAGGUAAUGGCUCACCAAGGCAACGAUCAGUAGCCGGUCUGAGAGGACGGUCGGCCACACUGGAACUGAGACACGGUCCAGACUCCUACGGGAGGCAGCAGUGGGGAAUUUUUGGCAAUGGGGGAAACCCUGACCAAGCAACGCCGCGUGGAUGAUGAAGUAUCUCGGUACGUAAAAUCCUUUCGACAGGGAAGAAACCCGCAAGGGUUGACGGUACCUGUAGAAGAAGCCCCGGCUAACUCCGUGCCAGCAGCCGCGGUAAUACGGGGGGGGCAAGCGUUGUUCGGAAUUACUGGGCGUAAAGGGCGCGUAGGCGGUUUGCUAAGUUGGACGUGAAAACUCUGGGCUUAACCCAGAGCCUGCAUCCAAAACUGGCAAGCUGGAGUAUUGGAGGGGGAAGCGGAAUUCCUGGUGUAGCAGUGAAAUGCGUAGAUAUCAGGAGGAACACCGGUGGCGAAGGCGGCUUCCUGGACAAUAACUGACGCUGAGGCGCGAAAGCUAGGGGAGCAAACAGGAUUAGAUACCCUGGUAGUCCUAGCCCUAAACGAUGGAUACUUGCUGUGAGGGGGAUUGAAUCCCUUCGUGGCGAAGCUAACGCAUUAAGUAUCCCGCCUGGGGAGUACGGUCGCAAGGCUG